UACGAAGGGAGUAAGCGUUAUCCAAAAUGAUUGGGCGUAAAGUGUUUGUAGGCUGUAUCUGUUGUUAUAUGUAAAAUAGUAAGUUUAUUUCUUAUUACUGCGUAUAUUACACUUUUACUUGAGUAUAAUAGAGGAUAACAGAAUUUUAUAGGAAAGAGUAAAAUCUAGUGAUCUAUAAAGGAAUGUCAGUGGCGAAGGCGGUUAUCUGGAUUAUUACUGACGCUGAGGAACGAAAGCAUGGGGAGCAAACAGGAUUAGAUACCCUGGUAGUCCAUGCUGUCAAAGAUGAAUGCUAAUAUUGGGAGUUUUCUGGUAUACAGCUAACGCGUUAAGCAUUCCGCCUGGGGAGUACGGUCGCAAGAUUGGAACUCAAAGGAAUUGACGGGGGUCUACACAAGUGGUGGAGCAUGUGGUUUAAUGCGAUAAUACGCGCGAAAUCUUACCAGUUCUUGCAUAUGGCAAAAUCAAUAAUAUUAUAUUAUUGCUAGUAUAAAAAUUAAAUUAUUUUAAUACUAUUGUUAUACAGGUGUUGCAUGGCUGUCGUCAGCUCGUGCCGUGAGGUGUUUGGUUAAAUCCUUUAACGAGCGAAACUCUUUUUUUAUAUUGGUACAUUUUGUUAAUUAAAUUAAUAAUAAUACAACUUAUAAAAGACUGCUAGUGAUAAACUAGAGGAAGGUGAGAAUUACGUCAAGCCCUUAUGGCCCUUAUGAACUGGGCCACACACGUGCUACAAUGAUAAUUACAAAAAGUUAUACAAUAAAGUAAUUUGGAGUAAAUCUUUAAAAAUUAUCGUAUGUUCGGAUUAUAGACUGCAAUUCGUCUAUAUGAAGGUGGAAUCACAAGUAACCGUAAAUCAGCACGUUACGGUGAAUUUGUACUUAGACCU
rnacentral:rRNA from 1 species